GAAACAAGGACAAUGACUGUUGGGAUCUGCAGUAGUCAUGGAAGAAACCAUCGCUGAGGCUAGCUCUCUGCCAUCACACUGGUCUGCUCAAUGGGCCGAACUAUAUGCUCUAAUCUGGGCCCUCCAGCUGUCAAAAGGACAGAAUCUCAGAGCAGCACUGCCUGCUCACAGGUCAAUGCUGCCUCUUGGCACAGACGGAAACCUCUGGGUAUUCAGCUAAAAGGCAGGCUGCCCUUUGAACACCUGGAAGUGGACUUCACUGAAACGAAAUCUCACCAACACUACCUGCUGGUCAUGUUAAACUUGCAGGUGUCACUCCCUGGAUCCACCACACGAGGGUGAAGAGAGCAUACCACGCAGACCUGGAGGACACUGAGUGGACUACACAAAAGGACCCUACUGAGCCCCGUGAAACCAAGAUCGUCUUAAAAAGAAAAAGAGGUGAAGCUCUACAAUCAACUGCUGCUAC